UUCCGGUUUAGAGCCAUGGCUUCACACUUCGAGGAGCUGACUCAAGCUUCUCAAGAGUACUGGGUGUGUUGCAGAGCUCGCACGCAGCGGCACAACCUGCUCCCAGGAAAUCUAUAAUCAACCCUGGAGGGACGGUAGAAGGAAAUGACAACACUUCGACAGAGACGCCGCAGAAAACGAUGAGGCAGGAGAAAAGAGGUACUUUUAAUCAGACAACUGAGCCUCAUUAGAGCGCACAUUCUAUGUGUAGAGCCGAACGAGAGUGCCCUCUAGUGGUCACAGGGGAGCUAACACGGCCGUUGCGUUGCUAACAGUAGUCAAACUGCGCAGCCUCCGGUCUAUCCUCAGCACAUUAGAGUUGGAAGGGUGGAGACCAGUUUCCUAACACGCUGCUUUCGAUGAAGAGGAAAUGCAAACUGUUUAAGUGAAGGUGAACUCUGGCGAGGGUUUGAAUGACUGGGAAACACACAAAAGACCAGAGAAUAAUCAGGUAUUCAUGUUCCUGCAGACCUUCUGUCCAAGUUCCUGCCACGUUUUCUUCAGUUUCAUAUAAUGUUCUUUGUGUAAUUGCUAUUAAUAAAACUUGAUUGAAUUAUU